UACAGAGGGGCAAGCGUUGUUCGGAAUUACUGGGCGUAAAGGGCGCGUAGGCGGCCUUCUAAGUCGAACGUGAAAUCCCCGGGCUCAACCCGGGAACUGCGUCCGAUACUGGGAAGGCUUGAAUCCGGGAGAGGGAUGCGGAAUUCCAGGUGUGCGGUGAAAUGCGUAGAUAUCGGAGACACCGGUGGCGAAGGCGGAUCUCU
rnacentral:rRNA from 1 species